GCGAACGAACAGGGAUAAGCUCAGGUUGGAAACCAGGGCCCUGGUCCUGGGUUGUAGCCUGCAGACGUAGCGCUAUCGGCGGCUUGAGCGAAAGCCUCUUGGAACAGAGCGUGUGCCCAGGUGAGAAUCCUGUGUUUCGCUUGAAGUCUGCCGUGUACGGUGCUCGCUCUCAAAGUCACGCUCCUCGGAAUUGGAGCGUAAAUCAGGUGGUAGAUUUCAUCUAAAGCCAAAUACAGACCUGAGACCGAUAGUGAACAAGUACCAUGAGGGAAAGAUGAAAAGGACUUUGGAAAGGGAGUUAAAAGUGCUUGAAAUCGCUGAAAGGGAAGCGAAUGGAACCACAUGCUUGCUGAGAUUGCUGCCAAUGCUUGUGAGCCCUGGUCAUUAAAGCGCAAGCUUCUUGUCUAGGAGUGAGAUGGCAUUU
rnacentral:rRNA from 1 species